rnacentral:rRNA from 1 species
GACGAACGCUGGCGGCGUGCUUAACACAUGCAAGUCGAACGAAGUGGCGAACGGGUGAGUAACGGGUAAUCAACCUGCACUUCAGAGGGGGACAACAGGUGGAAACGAAUGCUAAUACCGCAUACUGAAGGAGGGGAUUGCGUCUGAUUAGCUAGUUGGAGGGGUAACGGCCCACAAAGGCGAUGAUCAGUAGCCGGGCUGAGAGUAUGAACGGCCCAACUGGUACUGAGACACGGCCCAGACUCCUACGGUAGGCAGCAGUGGGGAAUCUUCCGAAAUGGACGAAAGUCUGACGGAGCAACGCCGCGUGAGUGAUGACGGCCUUCGGGUUGUAAAGCUCUGUUAAUCGGGACGCGGUACCGGAAUAGAAAGCCACGGCUAACUACGUGCCAGCAGCCGCGGUAAUUC